rnacentral:lncRNA from 1 species
AUAACUCGCUGUGAGGCUUACAGUGAAUGUGAUUACUUCCACAGUCCCUGUUUCUUGUGACAAUGACAUCAAGAAAUUCACCUGCUGCCUUUCGGACACCGUCAUGAUCCUAAGUACCAACCUUCCCCGUGGGCUGCGGGUGGCCCCCAUGGAGCAGCAACGUCACGCUCACCGCGCUGCCGUACUUCCAUUACACGUCUGCAAGCGAAAUCAAACCUGGGGGAUUUCUUCCUAGCGCUCCAGCCCUGCAGCCACACCGCAGAAUACAAAUGCCGGGCUGACGCACGCGCUUGGCGCUCGGCUCGCCGCCCCAGGGACCGUCAGCGGGCUGCAAGCCUUGAAGGGCUUGAGGCUCGUUAACACCAGGCUUUAAAUAACCGCGGUGCUGGGGGAGCGGGUGCUGCGUGUCCCUGCGGCGUGUAUUUAUGUGUGUGAGCGCGUUUGGUUUGACAACAGGAGUGAAAGAGCACUUGUUCCUUUGCUUCUCAGGUAGCAGCCCUAUGGAAAAGCAUCAAGGCAUCACCAGCGUUGUGCUUCCCAGCAUGCUCUAGCAUCCUUUCAAACAAGCAUUUGCUGUAGCAGAAAGUCCAAGAAAAGGCUUACUCCCUCGAGGAUCAAGAAGAAAGCAACAGUGAAGAAAGGACCGGUGGCAGCACGGAGAAUACGGAAAGCAGAUAAAGAGGAAAAUGAGGAGGUGGAGGUGAGCAGAAGGCAGCUCAGAAAAUUGCACAAGCUGUGGGGAAUUUUUGCAUCUAGCCGCUCGCACACCGCAAAGGGAGCGACUCUGCCAUCUGCAUCUCCUCUCAAAAAAAAAGGAAGGGAGAAGAGGGACAGAAUGGAGACAAAAAAAGAAAUCCACCUGUUGUGCCUCUUGUUUUGGCUGUGGUAGGAUGGAUCCAUGCUGAAUGCCUGCUGUGGGAGGGGAGGGAAGCCAACGGAGGUAUUGUUGUGUCUGAGGAGGCACCACGCGUGAGUCCUCUGCAUGGCUCUGUCCUACUGACACACUGGGAAGAGGAGGGAGGAACUAUUUUAAUCUCAUUGAGGCUGCUGAAGAGUAAAAAUGGAAGUAAUUAAAGGCCUGCUCUAGUCUCACUUAAAUCCCUUAGUCUUCAGGCCAGAGUUAUUUUUGUUACAUUGCUUUAAUGGUGUUGCAUUGAUGUUUAAAC